UGGCCGGUAGUUCAACUGGCAGAACGUCGGACUUUGGAUCCGGAUGUUGCAGGUUCGAGUCCUGCCCGGCCAGCCA
rnacentral:tRNA from 1 species